AAACCAAUCUAACAGCACAGACUUGAUACCCACCGUUAUCCAAAUUUAUCAUCAAAAGAUUUAUCCAAAUGCAAUGUUUGCAGCAAAACAUUACCCUGGCUUCUGUCAAAAACAUUCAAGAACGAGCUCGUUAUUCUCAUCUUUAAAAUUAUAAUCAACAGUAUCUGUCCUGGUACUGAAACUCUUGCAAAAUCAAGAUAAGAGGAAAUACAUCAAGCACGGUAUCACUUAGGCAGUGCAAAACCAGCUCCAUAUGCCCAGUGCUCUUCUCAAUAGACAUGCCAUCUUCUCGCCAAAGA